rnacentral:rRNA from 1 species
GACGAACGCUGGCGGCGUGCUUAACACAUGCAAGUCGAACGGGUCUGCCCUGUUUUUUGCGGGGUGGGUCAGUGGCGAACGGGUGAGUAACACGUGAGUAACCUGCCCCUCACUUCUGGAUAACCGCUUGAAAGGGUGGCUAAUACGGGGUGUUCUGGCUGUGCCGCAUGGUGUGGCUGGGAAAGAUUCACUUUUGUGGUGUUUUGGUGGGGGAUGGGCUCGCGGCCUAUCAGCUUGUUGGUGGGGUGAUGGCCUGCCAAGGCUUUGACGGGUAGCCGGCCUGAGAGGGUGGGCGGUCACACUGGGACUGAGAUACGGCCCAGACUCCUGCGGGAGGCAGCAGUGGGGGGUAUUGCACAGUGGGCGGAAGCCUGAUGCAGCGACGUCGCGUGAGGGAUGGAGGCCUUCGGGUUGUGAACCUCUUUCGCCGGUGAAGAAGGUCCUGCUCUUUGUGGUGGGGUUGACGGUAGCCGGGUUAUGAAGCGCCGGCUAACUACGUG